CCUACGGGAGGCUGCAGUGAGGAAUAUUGGUCAAUGGACGAGAGUCUGAACCAGCCAAGUAGCGUGAAGGAUGACUGCCCUAUGGGUUGUAAACUUCUUUUAUAUGGGAAUAAAACGUUCCACGUGUGGGAUUUUGUAUGUACCAUAUGAAUAAGGAUCGGCUAACUCCGUGCCAGCAGCCGCGGUAAUACGGAGGAUCCGAGCGUUAUCCGGAUUUAUUGGGUUUAAAGGGAGCGUAGGUGGAUUGUUAAGUCAGUUGUGAAAGUUUGCGGCUCAACCGUAAAAUUGCAGUUGAAACUGGCAGUCUUGAGUACAGUAGAGGUGGGCGGAAUUCGUGGUGUAGCGGUGAAAUGCUUAGAUAUCACGAAGAACUCCGAUUGCGAAGGCAGUUCACUGGACUGCAACUGACACUGAGGCUCGAAAGUGUGGGUAUCAAACAGGAGUAGAUACCCUUGUAGUC
rnacentral:rRNA from 1 species